CAAAUCCAUUUUCCUACUAAAUGGACCUGUCGAUCGAAGAGAAACACACCCAUCAAGAUUACAUCGCCGACUUGGUUUCCUUCUCUGUCAAAUUUCGCUCAAUUGAACCGUGAAUAAGCCCAAGGUUUUCAGCUGUAUAACUAUUAUUCUUGCAUAAACCCUUAUCUCUUACCCAUUUUCCCGUCGCAGUCGUGACUAUCUCCGACCAGUGUCGUUCAACGAUUCUGUUGAGAGGCCAACGUCUUCAGACCUUAUCUCUAACCCAAUUUGCGAGUAAAGAUUAUUAUUUGUUUCACAUCCUUUGUACAUUUGUUGUGAAGGUACCUUUUUUGUGUUUUUAUAUAAUAUUCAUGUUCUUUAAAUCCUGUUGAUCUGCAGCUUAUGGCAUGGUAUGCAUCAAAUGGAUUUUUUUUGUUCUGAUUUAAACUUUCAUUAUUGAAUUUUUCAUUAUUUUGAUAUGUACAGAAAAAUAGCGGCAUUUAUAGCUUGUUGAAAUUGGUCCUAUUGAGUUUAGAUGAUAAAUUACUUUCAUAAUCUAUUUGUUUCGAAGUAUGAAAUCAUUGUAUUUGGCUAGAGAAGUGAAAUGAGAGCACAUUUAAAUUGUGAUUUAUAUGGUCUGUUUUUUCUUGUGAUGAUAGUAUACCAUUUCUCUUUGAUGAUUUUCAGUUAUACCUGUAAGUGCAGCAUGAGACAGUUGCUAGAAUGUUAUUUGAAUUCUACAUUUUAUAGUAGAAUUUAUUUGUUGGAUUCCUAUGGUGGUAUAGAAUGUUGCUUAAGUUUUAAUUGAGCUAUUUUUUCCGGAUCUAUAUUUCAUUUUAAUUUGUAAUGAAAUCCUCUAAAUAUUGUUUGCCACGUAGGGAUGAGAGGGAGGAAUUAUGGUGUUUGUCACAGUUGUAGAAGCACAGAGCACUACUUCAAAGAUUGCAAGAGGAAAGUUCAUUGUUCACGGUGUGCAGUUGGAAUUCAAAAAUGUUCCGCGGUUGAAAAGGAAAGCAGUAACAAAGGUAGACUAUUCAGAACUUGCAAUAGCUCUUGCGGAUUUUUUGACUGUGUAAGAACAGAAGAAUCAAGUAGAGAGUCGAGUGUCAUUAAUGAGGAAGUGAUGAAUCCUACUGCCAAUGAGGAAGUCGACAAUUUGCCAUGCAUGUUCGAACAUCUAGCUCGAAUUGUCGAGAAACGAAACGUCGAGAUUUCGUUGAACGUGACAUUCCGCAAAGGAAAAGAGCCCUCGAACGAUAAUGGAGAAGAAAAGGGGCCUGCGUGAUUAUUAAUUAUAUUCAUUCUUACACCCAAAAUAGUUUUGUGUUUGGGUUUGUAAUAUCGAGAGAUGAUGAAAAAAAUCGAAGAACCCAACAAUAUUCAUUUUCAAAGAAUGCAAUGAAAGCCCUCUUUUUUAUAUGUAUGGUAUCAUGAGUAAAAUGUUUGUGUUGUAU
rnacentral:lncRNA from 1 species